CCUACGGGCGGCAGCAGUGGGGAAUAUUGGACAAUGGGGGCAACCCUGAUCCAGCCAUGCCGCGUGUGUGAAGAAGGCCCUCGGGUUGUAAAGCACUUUCAGUGAGGAAGAACGCCUGGUGGUUAAUACCCAUCAGGAAAGACAUCACUCACAGAAGAAGCACCGGCUAACUCCGUGCCAGCAGCCGCGGUAAUACGGAGGGUGCGAGCGUUAAUCGGAAUUACUGGGCGUAAAGCGCGCGUAGGUGGCUUGAUAAGCCGGAUGUGAAAGCCCCGGGCUCAACCUGGGAACGGCAUCCGGAACUGUCAAGCUUGAGUGCAGGAGAGGAAGGUAGAAUUCCCGGUGUAGCGGUGAAAUGCGUAGAGAUCGGGAGGAAUACCAGUGGCGAAGGCGGCCUUCUGGACUGACACUGACACUGAGGUGCGAAAGCGUGGGUAGCAAACAGGAUUAGAUACCCGGGUAGUC
rnacentral:rRNA from 1 species